AACGUAGGGGACAAGCGUUAUCCGGAUUUACUGGGCGUAAAGCGCCCGUAGGCGGCUUUUUAAGUUGGACGUGAAAGCUCCCGGCUUAACUGGGAGAGGCCGUUCAAAACUGAGAGGCUGGAGUGAGGCAGAGGAGCGCGGAAUUCCCGGUGUAGUGGUGGAAUGCGUAGAUAUCGGGAGGAACACCAGUGGCGAAAGCGGCGCUCUGGGCCUAAACUGACGCUGAGGGGCGAAAGCGUGGGGAGCGAACGG
rnacentral:rRNA from 1 species